UCUCGCGCCCUCCGAGCACCUCGCUGCGCGCAGGUAGUUCCCGGGUGGGUGGAGACUCUCCAGGUUUACGUCGCCAAGGGCGCAUUCUCUAGCCGAAUUAAAAUCCCAGCAGGUGAGCUGAUAGGACCACCUGCAGCCAGGAGAACUUGGGGGCACGUCCAGAUACAAACAGAUGUGGCUGGUGACUCAUCCCUAAGGGCACCCUCUUUCUUCUCAGUGAAAGUGGAGACAGUGACUUACCUCCUCGGAUCCCUGGGAGGAUAAAUGAACUAACUCAUGUUUGAAGAAAAAAAUGAUUCUGACACUUGCUAAAAUGUGAGUAAAUCAAACCAGAAGAGGCAGAGCAGAGAAAGUAACCGAAACGCUGCCUGCAAGUCACAUGCAUCUGUGAGAGAGCAGGCCUUCCACCGGAGCGCAUUGGAGAAGGGCCGGGAAGGCAGAGCCGUGGCCCCUGGCAGGGAUGAAUGCUGCAUCUGGAUUUGAUGUGGAGACCUUUCUUCCAGUGCUGCUUCUCGGCGUGACCCAAGCACUCGGGCUGGCUCUGUGUUUCUUGUCCUAAGGCCUGGCAGGGUCGGGGAAAGGCUGACACGAGCACAAGGACGGCCUGGAGAACUUGCGAAAACCCACCUCCGGAGACUCUGGUUCAGCAGGGGGAUCCCACAUUUCGGCCAAGCUCCCAGGUGAUGGGCCGCUGCUGGUCCUGGACCACAGGGCGAGGUCGGAGGGACUAGACAGCCUCUUGCAUCCAGAAGAGGCAGCCGAUGCUCUAUCAGCCCUUCUGUCCUGAUGAGAAUUCUGAAAAUACACUCCCUGCAAUGGAAGCCCCUGGUCCUGCCGACCCCUCCCCAGCACACGCCCUCCUGUCUCCCGUGGCAGUGAAGGUCAUCACGGAGGCCGUGGUGCCCCUUUCAACUCCAUGACACCCCCAAUGGGGAACAUCAGUGGUCUGUUUGCUCUUUGGGCCCCUCCCUCUGUCCCUCCCAGCACCCCUUUUUUCCCCCUGUUGUUCUGUUGUUUUAGAAACAUGUUCCUUGCAGGUUACAGGCGUGGUCACUGUCUCUCUCCAGCGGCAAAGUGAACCCCAUUGCCUGGAGCUGAAGUCCACCAUCUCGACAUAAGCUGUUAUUGGACGGCUUGACUAUGGCUUGCAGUAAGGAUCCACCUGUGGCUCUCUCAGUGGUGGCUUUGGGAGGUGACUUGUGGCUGGAUGACUCCUUAAGGGGCAGGUGCAGCUGUCACUUUCCCACGCGGCGUGGCUCUCAUGUCUUCAGACCCUUUGGCCAUUCCCAGCAGGCUCAGGAGCCACUCCUGGCAUCGCCAGACAAAUCACGGCCAGGCAGCCCUGUGGGAACGCUGGGUACCUCUGGGGAACGGCUGGAAGGUUCCCGCAGGAGGAAUGCAGGGGACACCGGCGACCAGCUCAGCAGCUAUUGGUUUCCACUUGGCUUCCUGCGUAGCUUGCCCCCUACCCCCACCCCGGGGGGUGGGUAUCUCUAGAAACUCAUGAUCCUGUUAUUGCAAAGCCACUGACACCUGCAACUCUGCCUCGGUGGCCAGGAUCUGUACAUGCUGCCUCGGGCUGAGUCCAGAGCAGUUUUCCAAACCUCUUUGACCACGAACCCCAUCCCUUCUUUUCCAAUGGAGCAUCUCACGCCCCCAGGGUUCCAGGGGACACACGUUAGGGAAGGAGCCUGAAUGGUGGCUUUAAAAAUGAUCUCUGAGUAUGUGAUGAAUCAUUGCCAAAAAAAAAAAAAAAAAAAAAAAUCCAGAAUACCUACUAAAACCAUCCUAGAAAAUAAAUUAGUU